GCCACCAUGGCAAAAUGGUUUGAGUGUUGGGCUAUAACUCUGGAGACCAGGGUUCAAUUCCCAGUUUGGCC
rnacentral:tRNA from 1 species